AAAUCUUCGGAGGUAUCAGAUGGGCAUGCGUCCUAUUAGCUAGUUGGCGGGGUAACGGCCCACCAAGGCGAUGAUAGGUAGGGGUUCUGAGAGGAAGGUCCCCCACAUUGGAACUGAGACACGGUCCAAACUCCUACGGGAGGCAGCAGUGAGGAAUAUUGGUCAAUGGCCGGAAGGCUGAACCAGCCAAGUCGCGUGAGGGACGACUGCCCUAUGGGUUGUAAACCUCUUUUAUAAGGGAAGAAUAAAUGCUACGUGUAGCAUGAUGCCUGUACCUUAUGAAUAAGCAUCGGCUAACUCCGUGCCAGCAGCCGCGGUAAUACGGAGGAUGCGAGCGUUAUCCGGAUUUAUUGGGUUUAAAGGGUGCGUAGGCGGUUUUUUAAGUUAGUGGUUAAACGUCGGGGCUUCACCUUGAUUUGCCAUUAAUACUGUAAGACUCGAGUUCAGACGAGGUAGGCGGAAUAAGUUAAGUAGCGGUGAAAUGCUUAGAUAUAACUUAGAACUCCGAUAGCGAAGGCAGCUUACCAGACUGCGACUGACGCUGAAGCACGAGAGCGUGGGUAGCGAACAGGAUUAGAUACCCUGGUAGUCCACGCCGUAAACGAUGCUCACUGGUUCUGUGCGACAUACCGUAC
rnacentral:rRNA from 1 species